UACGAAGGGGGCUAGCGUUGCUCGGAAUCACUGGGCGUAAAGGGUGCGUAGGCGGGUCUUUAAGUCAGGGGUGAAAUCCUGGAGCUCAACUCCAGAACUGCCUUUGAUACUGAAGAUCUUGAGUUCGGGAGAGGUGAGUGGAACUGCGAGUGUAGAGGUGAAAUUCGUAGAUAUUCGCAAGAACACCAGUGGCGAAGGCGGCCAACUGGACCAUUACUGACGCUGAGGCGCGAAAGCGUGGGGAGCAAACAGG
rnacentral:rRNA from 1 species